rnacentral:rRNA from 1 species
GCAUCUGUGCAUGCAGCAUAUCAAUAAGCGGAGGAAAAGAGGGCUAUUACCUACGCUUAGGAUGUUGACACACGCGCGUGCUCGACUCUAUACAUGACUCUGUGCAUAUCAAUAAGCGGAGGAAAAGAAACUAACAAGGAUUCCCUUAGUAACGGCGAGUGAAGCGGGAAGAGCUCAAAUUUGAAAUCUUCAAGGUUUUACCUUGACGAAUUGUAGUUUAAAGAAGUGUUUUCUGUUGAAGUUUUGGUAAAAGUUCUUUGGAAUAGGACAUCAUAGAGGGUGAGAAUCCCGUAUUUGACCAUUAUUUUCAGCUGUGUGAUACACUUUCAAAGAGUCGGAUUGUUUGGGAAUGCAGUCCAAGAUGGGUGGUAAAUUUCAUCUAAAGCUAAAUAUUGGCGAGAGACCGAUAGCGAACAAGUACCGUGAGGGAAAGAUGAAAAGAACUUUGAAAAGAGAGUUAAACAGUACGUGAAAUUGUCAAAAGGGAAGCGUUUGACACCAGUGUUGUUUUCUCGAAAAUCAAUUAAAAAGAGUUUAGAUUUUGUUGUGUAUUGACCUUAACAGCUUGCAUUUCAAUUUUCUUGCUUUUUUUAAUGCACUUUUCGUUUAACAAGUCAACAUCAGUUUCUUUUGUUGUAAAAAGGUCAUUGGAAGGUGGCUUUCUUUUCGGAGAAAGUGUUUAUAGCCUUUGACUCCUGCAAUCGGAGAGACUGAGGUCUGCAGCGUAGAUCCUUCGGGGUUAGAUACAUUUGUGCUAAGUUAUAGCUUUUUAUAGACAACUUGUUGACUAUGAUUAGUCUUGUAGCUUACUCGCUUAUGCUAUUUUACCUACGCUUAGGAUGUUGACACACGCGCGUGCUCG